GACGAACGCUGGCGGCGUGCUUAACACAUGCAAGUCGAACGGUAAGGCCCUUCGGGGUACACGAGUGGCGAACGGGUGAGUAACACGUGGGUGAUCUGCCCUGCACUUCGGGAUAAGCCUGGGAAACUGGGUCUAAUACCGGAUAGGACCACUGCCUGCAUGGGGGGUGGUGGAAAGCUUUUGCGGUGUGGGAUGGGCCCGCGGCCCAUCAGCUUGUUGGUGGGGUGAUGGCCUACCAAGGCGACGACGGGUAGCCGGCCUGAGAGGGUGACCGGCCACACUGGGACUGAGAUACGGCCCAGACUCCUACGGGAGGCAGCAGUGGGGAAUAUUGCACAAUGGGCGCAAGCCUGAUGCAGCGACGCCGCGUGAGGGAUGACGGCCUUCGGGUUGUAAACCUCUUUCAGCACCGACGAAGCGCAAGUGACGGUAGGUGCAGAGGAAGGACCGGCCAACUACGUGCCAGCCGCCGCAGUAA
rnacentral:rRNA from 1 species